GUGUAGCUCAAUAGUAGAACAUGUACUUGGCAAGUACAGGCCCUGCGUUCAAUUCUCAGCAC
rnacentral:tRNA from 1 species